rnacentral:misc_RNA from 1 species
CCAAUAGCGUAUAUUAAAGUUGUUGCAGUUAAAAAGCUCGUAGUUGAAUUUCGGGAUCAGUAGGUCGGUCGUGUCACUGGUAUGAACUGGUCUCACUGGUUCCUCCCUCUUGACGAACUGCAAUGCUAUUAAUUUAGUGUUGUAGGAAAUCAGGACUGUUACUUUGAAAAAAUUAGAGUGUUUAAAGCAGGCUUUGGCUUGAAUACAUUAGCAUGGAAUAAUGAAAUAGGACGUUCGAUCCUAUUUUGUUGGCUUCUAGGAUUGACGUAAUGAUUAAUAGGGACAGUUGGGGGCAUUAGUAUUCAAUUGUCAGAGGUGAAAUUCUUGGAUUUAUUGAAGACUAACUACUGCGAAAGCAUUUGCCAAGGAUGUUUUCAUUAAUCAAGAACGAAAGUUAGGGGAUCGAAGACGAUCAGAUACCGUCGUAGUCUUAACCAUAAACUAUGCCGACUAGGGAUCGGAUGAUGUUAAUUUUUUAAUGACUCAUUCGGCGCCUUACG